GAGGGUUUGGCUCAGUGGUAGAGCACUUGCCUUGCAUGUGCAAGGUCCUGGGUUCAAUCCUCA
rnacentral:tRNA from 1 species